rnacentral:snRNA from 1 species
AUUGCUUCUCGGCCUUUUGGCUAAGAUCAAGCUGUUGUCAGAUGAGUAACUGCUACGUCCCCAAUGCAGGACAAUAUAUUAAAUGGAUUUUGGGAGCAGGGA